GGGGAUUUAGCUCAGCGGCAUAAGCGCCUGCCUUGCAAGCAGGCAGUCGUGAGUUCCCU
rnacentral:tRNA from 1 species